CUCUCUCUCUCUCUCUCUCUCUCUCUAGCUUGAUAGUCCAUUUGAGCGUCCAAAAAUUUAAUCCGCGGGACACCACUUGCGUGAGCCCACCUUCGGUUCAAAAUUGUCAAUUGGAGGUUUUCUUUUAUGUAAAAUGAUAAUUGCCGUUCUAUAAAUCUGCCUGAAUGCACACCGUUGAUUAUUCUCUGAAUCAAUCGGUCCCUGGAUCGAAUCGUUCGAUCGUUUGUAGGAAAUCAUACUCCAAACACAACCUCUUCCAGGUGGGAUCCUUACUUUCGUCGAGUGGUAGACUAUCAGGAGUUUUAACACCUGGUCACGGGUUCGAGUAUCCAUGGGUGGUGCUAUUUCAGGGUGUGUGGCGAGAGUGCGUGUAAAUAAAUUU